rnacentral:rRNA from 1 species
UACGUAGGGGGCUAGCGUUGUCCGGAUUUAUUGGGCGUAAAGAGCUCGUAGGCGGCUUGUUGCGUCGUCCGUGAAAACCUGUGGCUCAACUACAGGCUUGCGGUCGAUACGGGCAGACUUGAGUUCGGUAGGGGAGACUGGAAUUCCUGGUGUAGCGGUGAAAUGCGCAGAUAUCAGGAGGAACACCGGUGGCGAAGGCGGGUCUCUGGGCCGAUACUGACGCUGAGGAGCGAAAGCGUGGGGAGCGAACAGG